AAAUUUCUAGUAAAAGGAAAAUCCGUUGAUUUAAAAUAUCGUGAGGGUUCAANNNCCUCUAUCCCCA
rnacentral:tRNA from 1 species